rnacentral:rRNA from 1 species
AGUGAACGCUGGCGGUAGGCCUAACACAUGCAAGUCGAACGGCAGCACAGUAAGAGCUUGCUCUUACGGGUGGCGAGUGGCGGACGGGUGAGGAAUACAUCGGAAUCUACUUUUUCGUGGGGGAUAACGUAGGGAAACUUACGCUCAUACCGCAUACGACCUUCGGGUGAAAGCAUGGGAUCUUCGGACCUUGCGCGAUUGAAUGAGCCGAUGUCGGACUAGCUAGUUGGCGGGUUACAGGCCCACCAAGGCGACGAUCCGUAGCUGGUCUGAGAGGAUGAUCAGCGACACUGGAACUGAGACACGGUCCAGACUCCUACGGGAGGCAGCAGUGGGGAAUAUUGGACAAUGGGCGCAAGCCUGAUCCAGCCAUACCGCGUGGGUGAAGAAGGCCUUCGGGUUGUGAGGCCCUUUUGUUGGGAAAGAAAAGCAGCAGGUUAAUACCCCGCUGUUCUGACGGUACCCAAAGAAUAAGCACCGGCUAACUUCGUG